CCUCACUCAGAACUGCCUCUCUCCUCUCAGCCAACUUCCAACCAUCCAGCCUGCAGUGUGACUUUCCCGUGGGGCCUUCUGGAAGAAGAGCAAGAGAGACAAUGCAUGAUGAACAGACUGCAACUCAAAUUCCAUAUUCCCUUGCUGCAUGGUGGGAGAAGGUAGAGAAAAUCAGGAGUAGCAUUAGACCCUGGAAGAGGAGAAGGUCUGGCAAAGAGUGAAUAUUUUAAAGACUAUCUACUGUCAUCUAUUGACAGAAGUUCACAAGAGAGUCUUCAUUGCACUUCCUUUUCCUCUAAAAUAAAUGACAAUUCAUUCUUGAAAAGUGAAGAAUUUCUCAAGGUGGAAGAAUCUUCAUGUCCACUUCCUUUGUACUACUGGAACAUAAAGAGCACUUGUAUUGUACCGAUA